AUUGAACGCUGGCGGCAGGCCUAACACAUGCAAGUCGAGCGGAGCGGCGGACGGGUGAGUAAUGCCUAGGAAUCUGCCUGGUAGUGGGGGAUAACGUCCGGAAACGGGCGCUAAUACCGCAUACUAUCAGAUACGCCUGGGCCGGAUUAGCUAGUUGGUGGGGUAAAGGCAUACCAAGGCGACGAUCCGUAACUGGUCUGAGAGGAUGAUAAGUCACACUGGAACUGAGACACGGUCCAGACUCCUACGGGAGGAAGCAGGGGGGAAUAUUGCACAAUGGGCGAAAGCCUGAUGCAGCCAUGCCGCGUGUAUGAAGAAGGUCUUCGGAUUGUAAAGCACUUUAAGUUGGGAGGCGUUACCAACAGAAUAAGCACCGGCGAACUUCGUGCCAGCAGCCGCGGUAAUUC
rnacentral:rRNA from 1 species